GCCAGGCACGAUGGCACUUGCCUGUAAUCCCAGUGACUCAGGAGGCUGAUACAGGGGGAAUCACAAGUUUGAGGCCAACCUCAGCAACUUGGUGAGGUCCUAAGCAAUGUAGCGAGAUCCUGUCUCAU
rnacentral:sRNA from 1 species